GGCCCGGGCUGUGGGGGUCGGGUGCUGUGUCCAGCACAGGAAAGCUGAAGUGGGUCCUCCUCAGACCAUCCCAAGCUGGAUCCUGUGCAGAGGGAGUGUGGCAGCCGCACUGUCACGGGAAGCAGCUUCCAUCACUACCAGUGUUUUCUGGUUCAUGGGAAGAUAAAGAGCUCGAUGUCAUAAGACCCGGAUUUAGAAGUGGUGCCUGCACUCUGGGAGGCUGAGGCAGGAGGAUUACAAGUUCAAGCCCAACCUGUGUAACUUAGUGUCUUAACAAGACCCUGUCUCAAAAUAAAAAAAUAAAAAAGACUGGGAAUGUAUCUCAGUGAGGAGGCCCAGGGUUUAAUUUCUACUACUGAAAAAAAAAAGGGGGUCGGGGAUUUAGCUCAGUGGUUCCGCUGCCCAAGGAUGCAAGGAUCCGAGUUCAAUCCC
ensembl:lncRNA